rnacentral:tRNA from 1 species
GUUUUAAUAGUUUAAAUAAAAAUUUUGGUCUUGUAAAUCAAAGAUAAAUAUUAAUUUUUAAAACU